GCCGGUAAGGUGAUAUGAACCGUUAUAACCGGCGAUUUCCGAAUGGGGAAACCCAGUGUGACUCGUCACACUAUCAUUAACUGAAUCCAUAGGUUAAUGAGGCGAACCGGGGGAACUGAAACAUCUAAGUACCCCGAGGAAAAGAAAUCAACCGAGAUUCCCCCAGUAGCGGCGAGCGAACGGGGAGGAGCCCAGAGCCUGAAUCAGCAUGUGUGUUAGUGGAAGCGUCUGGAAAGGCGCGCGAUACAGGGUGACAGCCCCGUACACAAAAGCGCAUGUGCUGUGAGCUCGAUGAGUAGGGCGGGACACGUGGUAUCCUGUCUGAAUAUGGGGGGACCAUCCUCCAAGGCUAAAUACUCCUGACUGACCGAUAGUGAACCAGUACCGUGAGGGAAAGGCGAAAAGAACCCCGGCGAGGGGAGUGAAAAAGAACCUGAAACCGUGUACGUACAAGCAGUGGGAGCNNGGGCGUUAAGUUGCAGGGUAUAGACCCGAAACCCGGUGAUCUAGCCAUGGGCAGGUUGAAGGUUGGGUAACACUAACUGGAGGACCGAACCGACUAAUGUUGAAAAAUUAGCGGAUGACCUGUGGCUGGGGGUGAAAGGCCAAUCAAACCGGGAGAUAGCUGGUUCUCCCCGAAAGCUAUUUAGGUAGCGCCUCGUGAAUUCAUCUCCGGGGGUAGAGCACUGUUUCGGCUAGGGGGCCAUCCCGGCUUACCAACCCGAUGCAAACUGCGAAUACCGGAGAAUGUUAUCACGGGAGACACACGGCGGGUGCUAACGUCCGUCGUGAAGAGGGAAACAACCCAGACCGCCAGCUAAGGUCCCAAAGUCAUGGUUAAGUGGGAAACGAUGUGGGAAGGCCCAGACAGCCAGGAUGUUGGCUUAGAAGCAGCCAUCAUUUAAAGAAAGCGUAAUAGCUCACUGGUCGAGUCGGCCUGCGCGGAAGAUGUAACGGGGCUAAACCAUGCACCGAAGCUGCGGCAGCGACGCUGAUGCGUUGUUGGGUAGGGGAGCGUUCUGUAAGCCUGCGAAGGUGGCCUGUGAGGGUUGCUGGAGGUAUCAGAAGUGCGAAUGCUGACAUAAGUAACGAUAAAGCGGGUGAAAAGCCCGCUCGCCGGAAGACCAAGGGUUCCUGUCCAACGUUAAUCGGGGCAGGGUGAGUCGACCCCUAAGGCGAGGCCGAAAGGCGUAGUCGAUGGGAAACGGGUUAAUAUUCCCGUACUUGGUGUUACUGCGAAGGGGGGACGGAGAAGGCUAUGUUGGCCGGGCGACGGUUGUCCCGGUUUAAGCGUGUAGGUGUGUGUUCCAGGUAAAUCCGGUUCACUUUAACACUGAGGCGUGAUGACGAGGCACUACGGUGCUGAAGCAACAAAUGCCCUGCUUCCAGGAAAAGCCUCUAAGCAUCAGGUAACAUCAAAUCGUACCCCAAACCGACACAGGUGGUCAGGUAGAGAAUACCAAGGCGCUUGAGAGAACUCGGGUGAAGGAACUAGGCAAAAUGGUGCCGUAACUUCGGGAGAAGGCACGCUGACACGUAGGUGAAGUGAUUUACUCAUGGAGCUGAAGUCAGUCGAAGAUACCAGCUGGCUGCAACUGUUUAUUAAAAACACAGCACUGUGCAAACACGAAAGUGGACGUAUACGGUGUGACGCCUGCCCGGUGCCGGAAGGUUAAUUGAUGGGGUCAGCGCAAGCGAAGCUCCUGAUCGAAGCCCCGGUAAACGGCGGCCGUAACUAUAACGGUCCUAAGGUAGCGAAAUUCCUUGUCGGGUAAGUUCCGACCUGCACGAAUGGCGUAAUGAUGGCCAGGCUGUCUCCACCCGAGACUCAGUGAAAUUGAACUCGCUGUGAAGAUGCAGUGUACCCGCGGCAAGACGGAAAGACCCCGUGAACCUUUACUAUAGCUUGACACUGAACAUUGAGCCUUGAUGUGUAGGAUAGGUGGGAGGCUUUGAAGUGUGGACGCCAGUCUGCAUGGAGCCGGCCUUGAAAUACCACCCUUUAAUGUUUGAUGUUCUAACGUGGACCCGUGAUCCGGGUUGCGGACAGUGUCUGGUGGGUAGUUUGACUGGGGCGGUCUCCUCCUAAAGAGUAACGGAGGAGCACGAAGGUUGGCUAAUCCUGGUCGGACAUCAGGAGGUUAGUGCAAUGGCAUAAGCCAGCUUGACUGCGAGCGUGACGGCGCGAGCAGGUGCGAAAGCAGGUCAUAGUGAUCCGGUGGUUCUGAAUGGAAGGGCCAUCGCUCAACGGAUAAAAGGUACUCCGGGGAUAACAGGCUGAUACCGCCCAAGAGUUCAUAUCGACGGCGGUGUUUGGCACCUCGAUGUCGGCUCAUCACAUCCUGGGGCUGAAGUAGGUCCCAAGGGUAUGGCUGUUCGCCAUUUAAAGUGGUACGCGAGCUGGGUUUAGAACGUCGUGAGACAGUUCGGUCCCUAUCUGCCGUGGGCGCUGGAGAACUGAGGGGGGCUGCUCCUAGUACGAGAGGACCGGAGUGGACGCAUCACUGGUGUUCGGGUUGUCAUGCCAAUGGCACUGCCCGGUAGCUAAAUGCGGAAGAGAUAAGUGCUGAAAGCAUCUAAGCACGAAACUUGCCCCGAGAUGAGUUCUCUCUGAGACUUAGAGUCUCCUGAAGGAACGUUGAAGACGACGACGUUGAUAGGCCGGGUGUGUAAGCGCAGCGAUGCGUUGAGCUAACCGGUACUAAUGAACCGUGAGGCUUAACCUUACAACGCCGAAG
rnacentral:rRNA from 1 species